AUUACCACAGAUGUAUGUAUGACUUAUAUUUCCUGCUAGGAUCAAUAGAAUAAUUAUGAGGCAUUGAUGCAUUAUUACCUAGGACUGAUGUCUGUAUUCCUCCUAACCAGCGUAGAUUGAAAUAAAUAUCAUUUAUAUAACACUUCACUACAAAACUGCUACUCAUGUCACUAAUCUAAAUAUCAAUAUACACUGACUAUACCAAACAUGAGGAACACCUUCAGUUGCCCCCCCCACCCCCACCCACGCUCAAAAUGCUGGCCCAUGUUGAGCGUGGAAAACCCAGCAGCAUUGCAGUUCUUGACACAAACCGGUGUGCCUGGCACCUACUACAUUACCCCGUUCAAAAGCACUUAUUUUGUCUCGCCCAUUCACCGUCUGAAUGGCACACAUACCCAAUCCACGUCUCAAUUGUCUCGAGGCUUAAACAUCUUUCUCUAACCUGUCUCCUCCCCUUCAUCUACACUGACUGAAGUGGAUUUAACAAGUGACAUCAAUACGGGAUCCUAACUUUUCACCUGGAAUCACCUGUUCAGUCUAUGUCAUGGAGAGAGCAGGUGUCCUUAAUGUUUGUACAGUCAGUGUAUAUUCUACCUCUGCCAUGUAACUGGAAGGACUGGUUUUAAAAGUGUGGACACAGAGGUCUGUCAGGUCUGUCAGGACACAGAGGUCUGUCAGGUCUGUCAGGACACAGAGGUCUGUCAGGUCUGUCAGGACACAGAGGUCUGUCAGGUCUGUCAGGACACAGAGGUCUGUCAGGUCUGUCAGGACACAGAGGUCUGUCAGGACACAGAGGUCUGUCAGGUCUGUCAGGACACAGAGGUCUGUCAGGUCUGUCAGGACACAGAGGUCUGUCAGGUCUGUCAGGACACAGAGGUCUGUCAGGUCUGUCAGGACACAGAGGUCUGUCAGGUCUGUCAGGACACAGAGGUCUGUCAGGUCUGUCAGGACACAGAGGUCUGUCAGGUCUGUCAGGACACAGAGGUCUGUCAGGUCUGUCAGGACACAGAGGUCUGUCAGGUCUGUCAGGACACAGAGGUCUGUCAGGUCUGUCAGGACACAGAGGUCUGUCAGGUCUGUCAGGACACAGAGGUCUGUCAGGUCUGUCAGGACACAGAGGUCUGUCAGGUCUGUCAGGACACAGAGGUCUGUCAGGUCUGUCAGGACACAGAGGUUAGAGCAGUGUCACCACACUCAACGCUCUAGACCGGUGGCAUUCCAACUUUUUCAGCGGGGACCCCAUUUUUUUUUGCCAGAAUUUCUGGGGACCCUGAUUAUUUUGUUCUCGCGACCCCACCGCUCUAAUGGCGCAACCUUAGUUUGUUACGUUUCUAUUUUUACUUUAACAAAGGGCCAUCAAUUCAUGACAUUUUGAUUUCUCUUCAAAAUGAAAAGAAUCCAUUAACUACAUUUACUCAAUAAAAUUGUAUUUUUCAAAUUAUCUUUCUCGAAACUUAUAUACUGUAUGUAUGAUAUCUAAUGUACUCCUAUGUUUAUGGUGUAGUGCAUUUGAUCGGAUGAAUUCUACUGUGUAAGUGUAUACUUGGUGUAUUCAUAUGCGCGUAUGUGUGUACCUGCGUCUAUACGUGUGUGUGUGUGUGUGUGUGUGUGUGUGUGUGUGUGUGUGUGUGUGUGUGUGUGUGUGUGUGUGUGUGUGUGUGUGUGUGUGUGUGUGUGUGUGUGUGUGUGUGUGUGUGUGUGUGUGUGUGUGCAUUUGCAAGUAUGUCAGGGUACAAUGCAGAUUUUUAACUGUGCAUUUAAU